rnacentral:lncRNA from 1 species
UCCCCUGCUCCCGGGCUGCAGAGUUCGCCCCCCUUCGCUCCCUGCCCUGCUGGGGGAGAAGCGGAAAGGGCAGCAGGAUUUAAGUGCGUUGGUAGCCCAGAGGUGGUGCAUCUGGCUCUGGGAUCCCCUGUCUGGAUUGGCCCCUAAAGCUGCAUCUCUGCUCACCUGGAAAUGCCAAAUCUGUGACGGUUCAGCAUUCAGGAGUCAGUGGGAUCAUGCAGGAAGAUCAAAGAACCUGGAGUGGAGGAGACAGAGGAGUAUAGAGAGAGCUGGUCCCCCAGGAGGAGCAGAGAGGGGACAGCAGAUAUAAAAGCGACACUCCACUCAAUUGUCGUCAAAGGCUG